AAGUCGUAACAAGGUUUCCGUAGGUGAACCUGCGGAAGGAUCAUUACUGCUUGCUUAUGACCUCUGCGUGGGAGACUAUGCAGUUGUCGGGCUCGCUACCCUUGCCUAAACACAACCUUUUGUUAUUUCCCUCGGCAGGGCUACCUGCCGCUGGGCCUUCUCAAACCUUUUGUUGAAGUAUUACAUUCUGAACCACACAAUAAUCACAACUUUUAACAAUGGAUCUCUUGGUUCUG
rnacentral:misc_RNA from 1 species